rnacentral:rRNA from 1 species
GACGAACGCUGGCGGCGUGCCUAAUACAUGCAAGUCGGACGCUGAAGGAGGAGCUUGCUUCUCUGGAUGAGUUGCGAACGGGUGAGUAACGCGUAGGUAACCUGCCUGGUAGCGGGGGAUAACUAUUGGAAACGAUAGCUAAUACCGCAUAAUAGUAGAUGUUGCAUGACAUUUGCUUAAAAGGUGCAAUUGCAUCACUACCAGAUGGACCUGCGUUGUAUUAGCUAGUUGGUGGGGUAACGGCUCACCAAGGCGACGAUACAUAGCCAACCUGAGAGGGUGAUCGGCCACACUGGGACUGAGACACGGCCCAGACUCCUACGGGAGGCAGCAGUAGGGAAUCUUCGGCAAUGGACGGAAGUCUGACCGAGCAACGCCGCGUGAGUGAAGAAGGUUUUCGGAUCGUAAAGCUCUGUUGUAAGAGAAGAACGAGUGUGAGAGUGGAAAGUUCACACUGUGACGGUAGCUUACCAGAAAGGGACGGCUAACUACGUG